AUUGAACGCUGGCGGCAGGCCUAACACAUGCAAGUCGAACGAGUGGCGGACGGGUGAGUAAUGUCUGGGAAACUGCCUGAUGGAGGGGGAUCACUACUGGAAACGGUUGCUAAUACCGCAUACCAUCAGAUGUGCCCAGAUGGGAUUAGCUUGUUGGGGGGGUAACGGCUCACAAAGGCGACGAUCCCUAGCUGGGCUGAGAGGAUGCACAGCCACACUGGAACUGAGACACGGUCCAGACUCCUACGGGAGGCAGCAGUGGGGAAUAUUGGACAAUGGGCGCAAGCCUGAUGCAGCCAUGCCGCGUGUAUGAAGAAGGCCUUCGGGUUGUAAAGUACUUUCAGCGGGGAGGCGUUACCCGCAGAAGAAGCACCGGCUAACUCCGUGCCAGCAGCCGCGGUAAUUC
rnacentral:rRNA from 1 species